rnacentral:rRNA from 1 species
GAUGAACGCUGGCGGCGUGCCUAAUACAUGCAAGUCGAGCGAACGGACGAGAAGUUUGCUUCUCUGAUGUUAGCGGCGGACGGGUGAGUAACACGUGGAUAACCUACCUAUAAGACUGGGCUACCUUCGGGAAACCGGAGCUAAUCCCGGAAAAUAUUUUGAACAGCAUGGUUCAAAAGUGAAAGACGGUCUUGCUGAUACUUAUACAUGGAUCCGCGCUGCAUUAGCUAGUUGGUAAGGUAACGGCUUCCCAAGGCAACGAUGCAUAGCCGACCUGAGAGGGUGAUCGGCCACACUGGAACGGAGACACGGUCCAGACUCCUACGGGAGGCAGCAGUAGGGAAUCUUCCGCAAUGGGCGAAAGCCUGACGGAGCAACGCCGCGUGAGUGAUGAAGAGCUUCGGAUCGUAAAACUCUGUUAUUAGGGAAGAACAUAUGUGUAAGUAACUGUGCACAGCUUGACGGUACCGAAUCAGAAAGCCACGGCUAACUACGUG